CACGUAGGGGGCGAGCGUUGUCCGGAAUCAUUGGGCGUAAAGAGCUCGUAGGCGGCUCAGUAAGUCGGGUGUGAAACCCCCAGGCUCAACCUGGGGACGCCACCCGAUACUGCUGUGGCUAGAGUCCAGUAGGGGAGUGUGGAAUUCCCGGUGUAGCGGUGAAAUGACGCAGAUAUCGGGAGGAACACCAGCGGCGAAGGCGGCACGUCUGGGCUGGAACUGACGCUGAGGAGCGAAAGCGUGGGUAGCAAACAGG
rnacentral:rRNA from 1 species